AAUGACUUCUCAGAAAAGUAACCACUGCUAACAUAAAACCAAGCCCAAAGGUCAUCUCUUUAUUAGACAGAAGAGAUGGAACCAAAGGCUAGCGUCCCCCAGCAAAGUUUUUCCGAGACACUCAGGAGAAGUUACUCAGGGACAGUGUUUGUUCAAACAGUCUGAUUUAUUGUCAUUUUGCUUAAACUAAUGGUCCUAGAACAUUAACUACAAAUCUAUUUCUAUUGACGUGACUAAUCUAUGCGGAAAACAUCUCCUUACUAACAACCUUAACUAUUUUGUCUUAACUACUUUGACUAUUCCUAUUAAUCUAUGCAUCUAAUCUUCAAAUGUAUUCUUCGGUGGAAGCUUGAAGAUACGAGGAGAACCAUGAACUUUGGCACUGGAGCAAGUGAGGGAUGAAACAGGCAGGUUGUUCUCAAACAUUGUCACAAACAACCCCACCUCUGCCUGCAGCUCUCUCAUGAAAAUGGUUCUCUGAAUGGCGUUCGCUGAUGCAGAGUUCUCCCCUGCCACCUCUUCCAUAAUGCUCUGCAUCAUAAGCAGCUUUGGCAGCAGAGACUUCCUGAGCAGGCUCACGAGCAGUUCUGGAUCAUGUUGGUCAUUCAAGUUUAUUUCUUCCUGUUCCUCCUCUUCCUCCCUCAACUCCUCCUCAACUUCUUGUUCCUCUUCUCCUCCAUCGCCAUCCUCACUGCUUGAGCUCCAUGGCUCAGAAUCACCAUCGGUGUCAUCUUUGAUGUUCUUGGGCAGCCAGUACAUGCCAAAAAGAGCCAGAAAAGCUUCCGAAAGUGCCCAGAACUGCCAGUGGUGGCACAUGGCGAGGAACAGGAACACCGUGCUGUUUCUGGUCUGGGGUUCGGUUCCCUUCUCGAUCUCCUGCAGCAGCACCUGCAUCUCCUCCUGCAGCAUCACUUCUCUUUUCUCUAUAAGCUCUUGGGUGGCCUUGUCAGGCUGGUCCCCAACCUUGAGUGUGCUGCAGGCCAUCGGUGAGUGCGGCAGGCGGGGGGAAGGCUGGCCGAGGGCAGGGUCAGGGGCAAAAACGGCAGCCCCCAGGGUGGUUUCUAAGGCUGGGAUGAGGGCGCAGCCCCUCUGGGGAGGGCCUUGGGCUGGGCACAGAGGUGCCCCAGCCAGGGCAAGUGCCCAGAGGCUUUGGGGAUGUGCCAGGCACCUGUGGCCCCAGGAGACGCUGCUGCCCCACAGGGGCUGGGGCCUGGGAGAGCACAAACACCUGCCUGAGGGGGCCUGCAGCCCUGGACGUGCAGCGCUCCCAAACCCUGCCCUUGCUGCCUUCAAGCUCCAUUGCACCCUCUCCUACCUACCCUCGCGUCUCUCUGGCUCCUGUCCCUUCUCCCACAGCCAGCAGCUCCCUCGCACCCAGCCCUGCUAAGCCCCUUCUCUCCCAUCUCUUCCAGACCAUGGCUAUUCUUCUCGUCCGCCUCCUGUCAGUGAUGGGCCUCCUGCAGCUCACACUCAAGGUUGGGGACCAGCCUGACAAGGCCACCCAAGAGCUUAUAGAGAAAAGAGAAGUGAUGCUGCAGGAGGAGAUGCAGGUGCUGCUGCAGGAGAUCGAGAAGGGAACCGAACCCCAGACCAGAAACAGCACGGUGUUCCUGUUCCUCGCCAUGUGCCACCACUGGCAGUUCUGGGCACUUUCGGAAGCUUUUCUGGCUCUUUUUGGCAUGUACUGGCUGCCCAAGAACAUCAAAGAUGACACCGAUGGUGAUUCUGAGCCAUGGAGCUCAAGCAGUGAGGAUGGCGAUGGAGGAGAAGAGGAACAAGAAGUUGAGGAGGAGUUGAGGGAGGAAGAGGAGGAACAGGAAGAAAUAAACUUGAAUGACCAACAUGAUCCA
rnacentral:lncRNA from 1 species